CGCAGACCACUCGGGACCGGAAGUUGAGGAGUCCGCUGCUGUUUCUGAGCAUCUAGGACCUCGAAGUCCAAGAUGAACCCUUGUCCCCUUCAGAGAUCAUUGCAGAAGUCAUGAGGUGCCUUGUGUGUCCCCAGCUCCUCCAGGCCCCUGGCUACCCACCCUGCCAUCCACUUUGCUCCUGUACAAGGAAAAGGGAGUUUACUUUUUGAGAGAAGCAGUUCCUGCUUGCUGGAGAUGGAACAUGGGGUGUAGGUGAGACUGCUUGUGACAGCACUGUGAUAGGGACCAUGCCUCCUCCCAGGAGAACGGACGAGAGGGAUCGCCAGGACCGACACCACCAUCGAGCUCCCAGGGAAGAAGAAGCCCUGGAGAAAUGGGACUGGAACUGUCCUGAGACUCGCCGCCUCUUGGAAGACAUAUUCUUCUGUGAUGAGGAUUACAUCCGUCGUGGUUCUGAGGAAUGCCAGAAAUUCUGGGCUUUCUUUGAACGGCUGCAGAGAUUCCAGCACCUCAAGGCCUCCAGGAAAGAGGAGAAGGACCCUGGCCGUCCCACACAUGGCAUCCCUGCUCUAGUUGACCUACCUCGCACUUAUGACCCACGCUACCGCAUCAACCUCUCCAUCCUUGGCCCAGACACUCGGCGUUGUCAGGGGCUGGGCAGGUUGCUCCCCCCCGAGAGAGUGUCUGAGUUCCGUCGGGCACUGCUUCACUACCUGGACUUCGUGCAGAAGCAGGCUUUUGGGCGACUUGCCAAACUGCAGCGUGAGCGGGCAGCUCUUCCCAUUGCCCAAUAUGGGAACCGCAUCCUGCAGACACUCAAGGAAAACCAGGUGGUGGUGGUGGCCGGUGACACGGGCUGUGGCAAAUCUACUCAGGUCCCCCAGUACUUACUAGCUGCUGGCUUCAGCCAUGUAGCAUGCACUCAGCCUCGGAGAAUUGCCUGUAUCUCACUGGCCAAGCGGGUUGGCUUCGAGAGCCUCAGUCAGUAUGGCUCCCAGGUUGGCUACCAGAUCCGCUUUGAAAGCACACGCUCGGCAGCCACCAAGAUCGUGUUCCUGACGGUGGGGCUGCUCCUACGCCAGAUCCAGCGGGAGCCCACCCUGCCCCAGUACCAGGUCCUGAUCGUGGACGAGGUCCAUGAGCGGCACCUGCACAAUGACUUCUUGCUGGGCGUCCUGCGUGGCCUGCUGCCCAGGCGGCCUGACCUCAAGGUCAUUCUCAUGUCGGCCACCAUCAACAUCUCUCUCUUCUCUAGCUACUUCAGCCGUGCUCCGGUGGUGCAGGUGCCUGGGAGACUCUUCCCCAUCACGGUAGUGUACCAGCCGCAGGAGGCAGAGCAGACAGCGUCCAAGUCAGAGAAGCUGGACCCACGGCCUUUCCUGAGAGUGCUGGAGGCCAUCGACAAUAAGUAUCCCCCUGAGGAGAGGGGGGACCUCCUUGUCUUCCUCAGCGGCAUGGCAGAGAUCAGCACAGUGCUGGAUGCUGCCCAGGCCUAUGCCAGCCUCACUCAGCGCUGGGUGGUGCUGCCCCUGCACAGUGCUCUCUCUGUGGCCGACCAGGACAAGGUGUUUGACGUGGCCCCAGCUGGAGUACGGAAGUGCAUCCUGUCCACCAACAUUGCUGAGACCUCGGUCACCAUCGACGGGAUCCGCUUUGUGGUGGAUUCUGGGAAGGUGAAGGAGAUGAGCUAUGACCCUCAGGCCAAACUGCAGCGGCUGCAGGAAUUCUGGAUCAGCCAGGCCAGCGCCGAGCAGCGCAAGGGCCGAGCGGGCCGCACAGGCCCAGGUGUCUGCUACCGCCUCUAUGCCGAGUCUGACUACGAUGCCUUCGCUCCAUACCCAGUCCCGGAAAUUCGCAGAGUGGCCCUGGACGCACUGGUGCUUCAGAUGAAGAGUAUGAGUGUGGGGGAUCCACGGACCUUCCCCUUCAUUGAGCCCCCUCCACCUGCCAGCCUGGAAACCGCUAUCCUGUAUCUCCGAGACCAGGGGGCGCUGGACAGCUCAGAGGCCCUCACCCCCAUUGGGUCUCUGCUGGCCCAGCUGCCUGUAGAUGUUGUGAUUGGGAAGAUGUUGAUCCUGGGUUCCAUGUUCAGCCUGGCAGAGCCUGUGCUGACCAUUGCUGCUGCCCUCAGCGUCCAGUCACCAUUCACCCGCAGUGCCCAGAGCAGCCUGGACUGUGCCACAGCCCGGCGGCCACUGGAGAGUGACCAGGGUGACCCCUUCACGCUCUUCAAUGUCUUCAAUGCCUGGGUGCAGGUGAAGUCUGAGCGGAGUGGGGACUCUCGCAAGUGGUGCCGCCGCCGGGGUGUGGAGGAGCAUCGGCUGUAUGAGAUGGCCAACCUGCGGCGCCAGUUCAAGGAGCUGUUGGAGGAUCAUGGGUUGCUAAGUGGGGCCAAGGUAGUGGCCCCAGGGGACAGCUACAGUCGGCUGCAGCAGCGCAGAGAGCGCCGGGCCCUGCACCAACUGAAGCGGCAGCAUGAGGAGGGUGGAGGACGGAGGCGCAAGGUCCUGCGGCUGCAGGAAGAUGGCUGCUCCAGUGAUGAGGACAAUGAGGGCUCUGCUUCCCAGAGGGCUGACAGCGUUGACAUUCAGGAUGUAAAAUUCAAGCUUCGGCACAACCUGGAGCAGCUGCAGGCAGCAGCCAGCUCAGCCCAGGACCUGACCCGCGACCAGCUGGCUUUACUCAAGCUGGUGCUGGGACGGGGCCUCUACCCACAGCUGGCUGUGCCCGAUGCAUUCAACAGUGGCCGCAAGGACUCGGACCAGAUUUUCCAUACCCAGGCCAAGCAGGGCACUGUGCUGCACCCCACCUGUGUCUUCGCCAACAGCCCUGAGGUAUUGCACACACAGGGGCAGGAGACCUCAGGCCGUGAAGGGAGUCAAGAUGGCAAGGACCAAAUGAACUGCAAGCACCAGCUCCUGGCCUUUGUCUCCCUGCUGGAGACCAACAAACCAUACCUGGUGAACUGCGUCCGCAUCCCCGCCCUCCAGUCCCUCCUGCUGUUCAGCCGGUCCAUUGACACCAACGGUGACUGUUCCCGCCUGGUGGCUGACAGUUGGUUGGAGCUGCAACUCACAGAUAGUGAGAGUGCCGUCCGGCUCCUGGCAACAUCCCUGCGGCUCCGUGCCCACUGGGAAAGUGCCUUGGACCGGCAACUGGCCCACCAGGCCCAGCGGCAGAGGCUGGAGCAGGAGGAAGAGGUGGAGUCGCCAGCGGUCAGCCCCAAGGAGGUAGCUGCUCUGAGCCGGCAGCUGCUGCAGUUCAUGGCGACCAAGGUCCCCUACAGCCUCCGACGGCUCACUGGCCUAGAAGCCCAGAACCUCUAUGUGGGACCCCAAACCAUCACAGCCACCCCUAAUCUGCCUGGUCUCUUUGGAAACUCUACCCUGUCCCCCCACCCCACCAAGGGGGGCUAUGCUGUCUCCGAGUUUCUCACCUAUAACUGCCUCACGAGCGACACCGACCUGUACAGUGACUGUCUGCGCUCCUUCUGGACCUGCCCGCACUGCGGCCUGCACAUGCCCUUCACGCCCCUGGAGCGCAUCGCUCACGAGAACACCUGCCCCAAGACCCCGAAGGAUGAUCCAGGAUCUGAGGAGGCUGCUCCUGCCCCACCGCAGAAGACCUCAGCCCUGCAGAGGCCCUACCACUGCCAGGUGUGCGGGGAGGACUUCCUCUUCACCCCCACCGAGGUGCUGCGACACCGCAGGCAGCACCUGUGAUCCAGAGCUCCAGGGAGCACCCCAGGGAGCUCAUCCAGGCCCUGCUUCAGGAACCUCCACCCCACCUCCAGCCACUUGUGACAAAUGCAGCCUCAGGAGUCUGAGGUGGAACCCAGCUGUGCAGUUGCUUCUGCAUUGCCAUGACCUCAGUCCCAGACAGAAGCUGCUUAAGGGAUGGGGGAUUUUAUCUCAUCGCUGCAGACUAGGAAGCAAAACAAUGGACAGAAGUGAGAGACUAACCUGUGAAGACCUGUACCCAGAAACUUCUGUCGGCCAGGUCCUACCCUUAAAGGUCCAUAACUUCCCACAACAAUGGCAUGGAGUCUGGAAGUCACCUCAGUUGGAAAAGUGCCUGCUGCUCAGGCAGGAGAAUCUGCCUUUGGAUCCCCAGAACCCACGGGAAAGCUGAGCAUAGCCACGGGAAAGCUGAGCAUAGCCACAGGCGUCUGCAACUCCAAAGCUGGGGCUAGGGCUGAAGGCUGGAAAGAGAUUGCAGGGCUGUCUCCCCUGCUCUGGACCCUGCACGCUCAUGAUCGUGGAUCAUAGCAGCUGACUCAGGGAGGUCAGCGCAUCCACACUUCACUGUCUUCUUGUGGUACUGAGGGUGAACUCAGAGCCCUGCACAUUCUAGGAAGUCCUCCCCAACUGAGCCACACCCCAGUUCCUGAAGCCAACCAGAUCCACCAGGCCUCUUCCUCCCUCCGAGGAAACAACAAAGAGUCUCUCUCGGACCAGCCGAGCCUUCUGGAAGAGGUUUAGACCAACUGAGGCCCCUGGAUAGGACACUCGCCAACAUGCUGAGCUGGCUGCAGGUUCCCAGAACUGACACCCGUGCUGGGGUGGACUUUGGUGAUGCAGCUGCCGUUGAGUCAUUUCUUCUCCUAUUAGUGACCUCAGUAAUACUCACUGGUUCACCAGUGUGGACUCUGGUGGUAUCCGUACUGUCAUGGGCUCCCAUCUGGGGUGAGUAAACCGUGUCACACCUCCCCAGGAAAAGUUUGUUACACAACGUCCACAGAGAUGUUUAGGAUGGUUAAAACCCACUACCUUAAGAUGGCAUGUUGUAAGUCUGUAAUUAGUCAGCACUUGGGAGACAGAGAAGGGAGAAUCUGGAGUUCAAGACCAGCCUGGACAAUUCACUGAGACCACAUCUCAAAACAAAAGCAAACCCAAACAAACAAAAGGUUGUGAUAAUAUCAAACUUGAUUGUGCGAGCCACACCCAUUGAUUAAGCCCAGUGGCUCACAAACAACAAACUAAAUCAAAACAGACGUCUGCAAAUAGAAGGGACUCGUUGAGAAUAAAAAGGGGUCCAGCAGGA